rnacentral:rRNA from 1 species
GAUGAACGCUAGCGGCAGGCCUAACACAUGCAAGUCGAGGGAGAGGUUAUCUUCGGGUAACCAAAACCGGCGCACGGGUGCGUAACGCGUAUACAAUCUGCCUUUCACAUAGGGAUAGCCCGAAGAAAUUUGGAUUAAUACCUAAUGGUAUAUAAGAGCGGCAUCGUUUUUAUAUUAAAGCUACGGUGGUGAAAGAUGAGUAUGCGUUCUAUUAGCUAGUUGGAGAGGUAACGGCUCCCCAAGGCGACGAUAGAUAGGGGUUCUGAGAGGGAUGUCCCCCACACUGGUACUGAGAUACGGACCAGACUCCUACGGGAGGCAGCAGUGAGGAAUAUUGGACAAUGGUCGGAAGACUGAUCCAGCCAUGCCGCGUGCAGGAUGAAGGUCCUAUGGAUUGUAAACUGCUUUUGUAAGGGAAGAAUAAGGAGUACGUGUACUUUGAUGACGGUACCUUACGAAUAAGCAUCGGCUAACUCCGUGCCAGCAGCCGCGGUAAUACGGAGGAUGCGAGCGUUAUCCGGAAUCAUUGGGUUUAAAGGGUCCGUAGGCGGGCUGAUAAGUCAGAGGUGAAAGCGCUUAGCUCAACUAAGCAACUGCCUUUGAAACUGUCAGUCUUGAAUGAUUGUGAAGUAGUUGGAAUGUGUAGUGUAGCGGUGAAAUGCUUAGAUAUUACACAGAACACCGGUAGCGAAGGCAUAUUACUAACAAUUUAUUGACGCUGAUGGACGAAAGCGUGGGGAGCGAACAGG